UCCCCGAUAGCUCAGCUGGUAGAGCGUCGGACUGUUAAUCCGCAGGUCCCUGGUUCGAGUCCAGGUCGGGGAGCCA
rnacentral:tRNA from 1 species